UAUCUGGACCUCAGUGGCAACUCUCUCUGGGGCUCAAUCCCAUCAAGCAUCGGUGCUCUUGCCAAGCUCACUCACUUGGAUCUAUCCAACGAUGGCCUGAACGGAUCUAUCCAACAAGCAUCCCUAGACUUGCCCCAUCUUGUCUAUUUGAAGAUUGGUAACAACCUCCUUUCGGGCAGAAUCCCUUCAAGCACUGGGGCUCUUGCCAAGCUCGCAUACUUGGAUCUGUCUGUCAACAAUCUUGAUGGAUAUCCCAACAUUCAUAGACUUGCCCAAUCUUGUGUAUCUGAGCUUCAGUCGUAAUGCUCUCUCGGGCCCAAUCCCACCAAGCAUUGGCACUCUUACCAAGCUCGUAGUCUUGGAUCUAUCCUUCAAUGGCUUGAACGGAUCUAUCCCAACAUCCAUAGACGUGCCCAAUCUUGUGUAUCUGAACUUCAGCCGCAACGCUCUCUCGGGUCCAAUCCCAUCAAGCAUUGGCGCUCUUACAAAGAUCAUGGUCUUGGAUCUAUCCUUCAAUGGCCUGAACGGAUCUAUCCCAACAUCCCUAGACUUGCCCCAUCUUGACAAUCUGAACCUCGGUCACAACUCUCUCUUGGGCCUAAUCCCACCAUCGAUAGCUAAUUGUACUAAACUAACCUCUCUCGAUCUCUCGCAUAAUUUUUUGUCCAAAGGAUCCAUUGGAAGCAUAGGAAAUAUGAUGAGUUUAGGAUACUUAGAUCUUUCCAACAAUUAAAUAAAGGGUUCCUUCCCUUCGGCCAUAUUGAAAUUAGCAUCUUUAACAACACUGUCACUUGCAUCAAAUCAGCUUAACGGCCAAUUACCGCCAGAGUUAGGUUCUCUUGUUCUACUCACAUAUCUGAAUCUAAGUAGCAACCAGUUUCUAGGAAGCAUUCCACCACAGAUAGUACAUUGCCACCUUUUAUAAUCGUUACUCAUAUCAGACAACUUAUUGACAGGACAAAUACCACAAGAACUUGGGUAUCUCACCGACCUAUAUGAGCUGGAUUUGAGUAGAAACAAUUUAAGUGGUGCCAUUCCAAUGACCUUAUCUAAUCUUCACCGACUGUAUAGGCUGAAUUUAUCACAUAACAGUUUGGGUGGCAGAGUUUGGUAUACAUCUAUCCCUGAAUACUUGCCCAUUGUUUCGCUUGACCAUAAUAUGAAUUUAUGCGGCGAAUCGCAGUAUGGCUUAAUGCCAUGUGAAUCACCAUCAUUGGAUCUUGGAAGACAACAACGAAGUAGUAAACAUUCAAAUAUGAUACCUCUUCUUGUUUUUGCUUCUUGUUGCUUCAUUUGUGUUGCAAUACCAAUCAUUGUGGUUGUUUGUUGGAAAGUAAAACCGUUAAAUACUAAUUCUAGAAAAUGCAAGUCUAGAGAUAUACUUGUUGGGGAACGUAGUAAUUUCAAAAAAUUUCCUACGCACACGCAAG